UACGUAGGGGGCAAGCGUUGUCCGGAAUCAUUGGGCGUAAAGCGCGUGUAGGCGGUUCGGUAAGUCCGCUGUGAAAGUCGGGGGCUCAACCCUCGAAUGCCGGUGGAUACUGUCGGGCUAGAGUGCGGAAGAGGCGAGUGGAAUUCCUGGUGUAGCGGUGAAAUGCGCAGAUAUCAGGAGGAACACCUAUUGCGAAGGCAGCUCGCUGGGACGUUACUGACGCUGAGACGCGAAAGCCAGGGGAGCGAACGGG
rnacentral:rRNA from 1 species